rnacentral:rRNA from 1 species
AUCCUGCCGGAGGUUACUGCUCUGGGAGUCGGACUAAGCCAUGCUAGCGGAGGGCAGUUUGGCUGCCCCGCGAAUAGCUCAGUAACACGUGGUCAAUCUACCCUUGGGAUUGGAACAACCCCGGGAAACUGGGGAUAAUUCCAAAUAGGCGGGGGUUCUGGAAAUGUCUCUCGCUGAAAUGCUCUGGCGCCCAAGGACGAGACUGCGGCCGAUUAGGUAGUUGGUGAGGUAAAGGCUCACCAAGCCAAAGAUGGGUACGGGCCCUGAGAGGGGGGGCCCGGAGAUGGGAACUGAGACAAGGUCCCAGGCCCUACGGGGCGCAGCAGGUGCGAAAAUUCCGCAAUGCGUACACGCGCGACGGAGUGACUCCCAGUGCCGAUGGUCUACCGACCGUCGGCUUUUUCGGAACGUAAAAAGUUUCGGGUAAUAAGGGCCGGGUAAGACUGGUGCCAGCCGCCGCGGUAACACCAGCGGCCCGAGUGGUAACCGCUUUUAUUGGGCCUAAAGCGUCCGUAGCCGGACUGGCAAGUCCUCUGUGAAAUCGGGCGGCUUAACCGCUCGGCUUGCAGGGGAAACUGUUAGUCUNNNGGCCGGCAAGCGCCGAGGGUACUCCAGGGGUAGCGGUGAAAUGCUAUAAUCCCUGGGGGACCGCCGGUGGCGAAANNNCUCGGCGGGNNCGGACNNNACAGUGAGGGACGAAAGCCAGGGUCUCGAACCGGAUUAGAUACCCGGGUAGUCCUGGCCGUAAACGACGUCUGCUAGGUGUGGCGCAGGCUACGAGCCUGCGCUGUGCCGCAGGGAAGCCGUGAAGCAGACCGCCUGGGAAGUACGUCCGCAAGGAUGAAACUUAAAGGAAUUGGCGGGGGAGCACUACAACCGGAGGAGCCUGCGGUUUAAUUGGACUCAACGCCGGACAUCUCACCGGCACCGACAACAGUAAUGACGGUCAGGUUGAUGACCUUACCCGAGUUGUUGAGAGGAGGUGCAUGGCCGCCGUCAGCUCGUACCGUGAGGCGUCCUGUUAAGUCAGGCAACGAGCGAGACCCGCAUCCCUAGUUGCCAGCAACACCAUUGGUGGUUGGGUACACUAGGGAGACUGCCGCUGCUAAAGCGGAGGAAGGAACGGGCAACGGUAGGUCAGUAUGCCCCGAAUGUGCCGGGCAACACGCGGGCUACAAUGGCCGGGACAAUGGGAAGCUAUCCCGAGAGGGAACGCUAAUCCCCUAAACCCGGUCGUAGUUCGGAUUGAGGGCUGCAACCCGCCCUCAUGAAGCUGGAUUCGGUAGUAGUCGCGCGUCAGUAGCGCGCGGCGAAUACGUCCCUGCUCCUUGUACACACCGCCCGUCA